rnacentral:rRNA from 1 species
CCUACGGGAGGCAGCAGUGGGGAAUAUUGGACAAUGGGCGAAAGCCUGAUCCAGCAAUGCCGCGUGAGUGAUGAAGGCCUUAGGGUCGUAAAGCUCUUUUACCCGGGAUGAUAAUGACAGUACCGGGAGAAUAAGCCCCGGCUAACUCCGUGCCAGCAGCCGCGGUAAUACGGAGGGGGCUAGCGUUGUUCGGAAUUACUGGGCGUAAAGCGUGCGUAGGCGGUUAUUCAAGUCAGAGGUGAAAGCCCGGGGCUCAACCCCGGAACGGCCUUUGAAACUAGGUAGCUAGAAUCUUGGAGAGGUCAGUGGAAUUCCGAGUGUAGAGGUGAAAUUCGUAGAUAUUCGGAAGAACACCAGUGGCGAAGGCGACUGACUGGACAAGUAUUGACGCUGAGGCACGAAAGCGUGGGGAGCAAACAGGAUUAGAUACCCUGGUAGUCCACGCCGUAAACGAUGAUAACUAGCUGUUCGGGUACUUGGUAUCUGAGUGGCGCAGCUAACGCAUUAAGUUAUCCGCCUGGGGAGUACGGUCGCAAGNUUAAAACUUAAAUGAAAUUGACGG